CUCAGGAGACAAACAUAUUGAAAAUGAUCUGAGUGAACAAAUACCUUUGAAAUCAGAAGGGACACAAUUUGGAAGUGAAAUUGGAACACAUCCACAGGAAGUCCCAAUAAUGACUGAAGUAUAUCAAGGAAAUGACAUGAUGCCAUGCAGAUGGAGAGUCAAAGACCUUGAACAAGAAUUGGAAAGAACAAUUGAUUAUUUUCAAUUUCAGAUUAUUUAUAUGAAGAAAAAUGCAAAUGACAAUUGGUGGGCAGCUCGGUUUGCCGAGAGAGAACUCCAUGACUUAAAGAAAGAAUAUGUUUGUAAAAG